GUUGGACAGUCCCAGAGGAGAAGGGGAGCAGGUUCCAAGUCCUGAACAGCCCUGGGGAGAAGGGGAGCUCCAUUCCCUGCACGUGGAGAGGCUCCUGAGCCGUUUCCUGCCGGGCCUGGGUUAUGUUGGUUCACUUUGGCUCCUGCCCUGGAUGCCACUUCCAUGACAUCACUUGGAGUGGAGGAGGUGAGACACUUGUGAGCGAUUAUCUCGUGCAAAUAGCCCUGGGUAAAUAAGCUCGGGGCACUAUUGACACUGAGACUGUUUCUCUUCCGAAUUUCCUGCUGGGGGAACUUUGCCAAGAAGCCAAAAAUGGGGUGGGGGGGGCGGGAACCCAAACUCCUCAACCCCAAACUUCAAAUUUCAAGUCAGGGCAUGGAGGUGCUGUCAUGCAGUUGCUCCAAGCGUGGCUGCAGCAGAUGUGAGGAUGUGUUUGGGGGAGCCUCUGCUGCCGAGCCCUUCCUGGAAUCCUGCAGAAGCCGAAAAGAGCAGGAAAUAUUUUUCUAAGGCAGCCGAAACGAGCCCUCCUUCAAUAAUAACCCAAGGUGUGAAAAACCCCUCUGGUAUUUAUGAGCAGAUGUGAUUCAGGACU
rnacentral:lncRNA from 1 species